UUACCGGCUUGACAUGCAGAAACGCUUCGGACAGGUGCUGCAUGGCUGUCGUCAGCUCGUGCCGUGAGGUGUUGGGUUAAGUCCCGCAACGAGCGCAACCCUAUGUUAGUUGCCAGCAGAGUGGACUCUAGCAGACUGCCGGUGAAAGCGGAGGAAGGUGGGGAUGACGUCAAGUCAGUAUGGUCCUUAUGCCGGGCUGCACACGUGCUACAAUGGGGUACAAAGGGCACCGCGAGGGGAGCAAUCCCCAACCGCCCCAGUUCGGAUUGGAGUCUGAAAUUCGACUCCAUGAAGUUGGAAUCGCUAGUAAAGCCGAUCAGCACGCGGCUUGAAUACGUCCCGGGCCUUGUACACACCGCCCGUCACAUCAUGGAAGUCUGUGACCGAA
rnacentral:rRNA from 1 species